rnacentral:sRNA from 1 species
GGUUGGGCAUCCGCUUUUGCACCAAUCGCAGGUAAGAGAGUGGGGCAAGGCAAGGGGCCUUGCAGCCCAGCUGGCCUUGAGACUGAGUGUCUGUCUCGUGGUUCCAGGUCAGCCCUGUACUAUGUGGACCUCAUCGGGGGGAAGUGUGAGCUCCUCUCGGAUGACUCCCUGGCUGUCUCUUCUCCCCGGCUGAGCCCAGACCAAUGUCGUAUUGUCUACCUGCAGUACCCAUCUCUGAUCCCCCAUCACCAAUGCAGCCAGCUGUGCCUGUAUGACUGGUAUACCAAGGUUACCUCAGUGGUGGUAGAUGUUGUGCCUCGGCAGCUGGGAGAUAACUUCUCUGGGAUCUACUGCAGCCUUCUGCCUUUGGGAUGCUGGUCAGCUGACAGCCAGAGAGUGGUCUUUGACUCAGCUCAGCGCAGCCGGCAGGACCUGUUUGCUGUGGACACCCAAGUGGGCACCGUGACCUCCCUCACAGCUGGUGAGCAAGCCAACCAGGCAGCGGGGGACUGGAGCUCCAGCAUGUGGGGCAGUGAUGGCAUUCUCAGCCACUCAGCACCACUGACUAUUCCACAGCCUUUACUAACAGGUCCCCAAGGUCCCUGUCCGUGCAGACCCUUACCCAACCAACAGACUAGCUUCCCUGCUCUACUGCCCUUUAGCACUCAACUCUGUUCCAUGUGUCCUGGCCCAGCCUCAGCACGGCCCCCACCUCUGCUCCUAAAACCCACAAAACUCUCUCUUAUCAAGAUCUGCCAGACUCAUCCUUCUCGCUCUGCAAACCUUGGGUGCCUGUCUCAGGCAGAAGCAGCUCUGCCACCUGAUGGCCCAGGAAAAGCCCAGUGUUGACUCCCCCAUCUUCCCCAUACUUAGGCCUGGUGAUUCUGCCCUUGAAAUGUGUUUUGAGUCCUCCACCUGACCUGACUGUAUCUGCUUCUCCACAAAGCUACCAAAAUAUCAUUCCAAAGCCACAUCUCAUUGUACAACUGCUUGGACACCACUGCCCCAAAUCAGCACGCUCCCCCACCCCCAACUCCCCGGUCCCAGCUGCCACCCUGCACACAGCAGCCAUCGAGGG